AUGCAAGUCGUACGGAGAAUUUAUUUCGGUAAAUUCUUAGUGGCGAACGGGUGAGUAACACGUGGGCAACCUGCCUCGUGGUUGGGGACAACAUUCCGAAAGGAGUGCUAAUACCGAAUACGCUCCAUUACCGGCAUCGGUUUUGGAGGAAAGAUGGCCUCUAUUUAUAAGCUAUCACCAUGAGAUGGGCCUGCGUCUGAUUAGCUAGUUGGUGGGGUAACGGCUCACCAAGGCGAUGAUCAGUAGCCGGUCUGAGAGGAUGAACGGCCACAUUGGGACUGAGACACGGCCCAAACUCCUACGGGAGGCAGCAGUGGGGAAUCUUCCGCAAUGGGCGAAAGCCUGACGGAG
rnacentral:rRNA from 1 species